UUAUUUUAAGACCUUGAGUGUUGGUCCGGCAGUAGAAGCUAUAGUUACCCCCAAAGAGCGAGAAAGGUGUAAAGAGACAACCACGAACAUGUCAGCGAGUUGAAAGAAGUAUUCUCUGAUUAAUUUCGUCUGGAAUCAGUGAGGAACAACUUGAUCACCUCAGCAAUACGCUUUGGGAAGUUUCUACGACUCCAAGACUCCGUGAUCAACGACAAAGGAAUAAAAAGAAAAUAUACAGUAAUCUUGGUAGCCUCAAGAGAAAGUUGUUCACAGUGAAAGAGGAAAAUUAUGAUAGAUAAUAGAUUACAUGUUCACACCUUGUUUUAACAGAUGGUGUGUAUUUUCAAGAGCAGUGGGGGAAAAAAAACAGUCAUUUCGCGCCUCAUUAAUUUGAAAUAGGAUUUGGUUGGGGUAGUCCGUUUUGAUAGUCCAUUUGGGUUGUCCGUUUGGGUAAUCUAUUUGGGUAGCGCAUCGUGGUAGUCCACGGACUGAAGAUCAAUGUUUUGUCCAUCAUUUAUUACCCCCUUAAUAAGUACCUUUAUAUUUAGCAUCAACAUAACAUCUUAUAUUAAACUGUUUUACCCUAUUUUUCGAUACAUAACAUAACAGUCCGGUUAAGGAAAUAGGACAGGGUCCUACACAAACUUUGGUUUACAAUCAUUUCAUCCUCACGCCCCAAAAAGGCACUUCGCGAAUAGGAUCAGAAGAAUGAACACCACAUGGUUGUAAACCAACCACCAUUCUCUAAAAAUUUCUUUCUGAUACACCAUUCAUUGUUCACGCAAAGUGGUGGUAAAAUGAUUUCUUUUCUCCUCAAAUACCAUUUGUAAGAAUAUUUUAUUAACAGUCUUGUUAUACAAAAACAUGGCAGAAAAAUUCCCUGAAGGUAAACCUCGGUUAAAAGAAUCUGUUUCACGUGUUCUAACCACCUUCAAGAGAUUCCUAAAUACUGCGCUUCGAUCCAAGCAUAGCAUACACAUGCAGUUACCUAAGACGAAUGUAGAAUUUAUUUAGUUUCAACAACCGCCUCAGUCUUAUGUUGAUGCUAAUCCUCACGCUAACCCUUGGUCGGAAAGAAAAACUUACAAAGGACUCUACUUCCACCCGUUGCUUAUCUGCAGUAAGGCGAAUUACAGCAAUGGGGAUUUUUUUUCCUAAUUAAAAUCCCAGGCCUGAAAGAACAAAACCAAAUACAAAAUAACACUACUAUUGAUAAUGAUAAAAAAAA